rnacentral:rRNA from 1 species
ACGGAGGGUGCAAGCGUUGUUCGGAUUUAUUGGGCGUAAAGCGCGCGCAGGCUGAAUGGACAGUCAGAUGUGAAAUCUCAGGGCUUAACCCUGAAACUGCGUCUGAAACUAUCAUUCUAGAAUCUCGGAGGGGGUAGGGGAAUUUCACGUGUAGGGGUAAAAUCCGUAGAGAUGUGAAGGAACACCUGAGGCGAAGGCGCCUACCUGGACGAGUAUUGACGCUGAGGCGCGAAAGCGUGGGGAGCAAACAGG